UCCUCCCUGGCGCAAUUGGCUAGCGCGUCCGACUGUUAAUGAUUAUCAUCAUGAACAUAAAUCGGGAGGUUGGUGGUUCGAGCCCACCGGGGGGAG